UGGGGCGUCGCCAAGCGGUAAGGCACCGGCUUUUGAUGCCGGCAUUCGUAGGUUCGAAUCCUGCCGCCCCAACCA
rnacentral:tRNA from 1 species